rnacentral:miRNA from 1 species
ACACCGACAAUGGGAAUGAC